CGCAAAUAGGGCCUAACUUAUUUUGAUUAAUAUUAAGUCUAUUGCACUAUGUUCGCCAGAAAUGGCCCAGGAAAUCUAUGGAUAACGAAAAUCCUUGCAAUAUUUGGAAAAAAAAGACCGAACCGCACCUGAAUAAAACAGAACUCAACACUUCGCAGUAUACGGAAGUGUACUACUUCGGGAGAGAUACUUCGUAAGAGCCGUAUCAGUCCGCGAAUACGGUAUCUCCUAAAAAAAACAACGAUGCAAAUAUGUGAAAUGGCUCACGAAGAGGCAGGAAAGGUGUGGUUAGCAAAAACCGAGAUUGGCAAAAUGAGCCAACAAAACUAAAAAGGAUCUGGUGACGAUGAAAGUGGAUGAGGAGGGACGAUGGUUGCAGCAGCUCAAGGAACAUCGACAAAUGGUUCGGACGUCGACACCAGUUAGUCAGAGACAAGACGAAAAGCAGUCAAGACACCAUUAAUACACCGUUAACUAAGAUAAAACGAAAGCUAGCUCUUUAUGGAAGCUAUUUUUGAGAGAUCAAUCGUCGAACUUCAUAUGUACCGGUGAUGAAUACCAGUUUAUAGUUAAAGUUCAUAAUUCAGCUUUAAAAAGCAUCGAGCGAAAAUACAUGCAGAGAG